rnacentral:rRNA from 1 species
UACGUAGGGUGCGAGCGUUGUCCGGAAUUACUGGGCGUAAAGAGCUCGUAGGUGGCUUGUUGCGUCUGCCGUGAAAGCCCGUGGCUUAACUGCGGGUCUGCGGUGGAUACGGGCAGGCUAGAGGCUGGUAGGGGCAAGCGGAAUUCCUGGUGUAGCGGUGAAAUGCGCAGAUAUCAGGAGGAACACCGGUGGCGAAGGCGGCUUGCUGGGCCAGUUCUGACGCUGGAGGAGCGAAAGCGUGGGGAGCGAACAGG